rnacentral:rRNA from 1 species
UACGAAGGGGGCUAGCGUUGCUCGGAAUCACUGGGCGUAAAGGGUGCGUAGGCGGGUCUUUUAAGUCAGGGGUGAAAUCCUGGAGCUCAACUCCAGAACUGCCUUUGAUACUGAAGAUCUUGAGUUCGGGAGAGGUGAGUGGAACUGCGAGUGUAGAGGUGAAAUUCGUAGAUAUUCGCAAGAACACCAGUGGCGAAGGCGGCUCACUGGCCCGAUACUGACGCUGAGGCACGAAAGCGUGGGGAAGCAAACAGGG